rnacentral:rRNA from 1 species
GACGAACGCUGGCGGCGUGCCUAAUACAUGCAAGUCGAGCGAAUCGAUGGGAGCUUGCUCCCUGGGAUUAGCGGCGGACGGGUGAGUAACACGUGGGUAACCUGCCUGUAAGACUGGGAUAACUUCGGGAAACCGGAGCUAAUACCGGAUAGUUUCUUUUCUCGCAUGAGGAGAGAUGGAAAGAUGGUUCUGCUAUCACUUACAGAUGGACCCGCGGCGCAUUAGCUAGUUGGUGAGGUAACGGCUCACCAAGGCAACGAUGCGUAGCCGACCUGAGAGGGUGAUCGGCCACACUGGGACUGAGACACGGCCCAGACUCCUACGGGAGGCAGCAGUAGGGAAUCUUCCGCAAUGGACGAAAGUCUGACGGAGCAACGCCGCGUGAGCGAAGAAGGCCUUCGGGUCGUAAAGCUCUGUUGUUAGGGAAGAACAAGUACGAGAGUAACUGCUCGUACCUUGACGGUACCUAACCAGAAAGCCACGGCUAACUACGUGCCAGCCGCCGCCGUAA